rnacentral:lncRNA from 1 species
ACUCCCUCCACUGCGCCCCGCUCACACUCCCGCACCCUCCCCACACUGCGCCCUGCCCACACUCCUGCACUCUCUCCCCACUACGCCCCCUACCACAUCCCGCGCCCCCGCCCCCAUCCCCACUGCGCCCCGCCCACACUCCCGCGCCCUCGCGCCCCUGGGCUCUCCCGUCGUGGGCACUCUCCCCAGCGCUUCUACACUUUCUCCCGACGCAGCGCCCUGCCCUCCGUCCCGCCCCACCUAUUGCCUCCUGCGCUUCCCCCACACCGUGCUCUUCCUCCUCCUUCACUUCCUCCCACUCCUCGCGCUCCCCUUCAGCGCCCCACGCAGCCCCUCCCCCAAAACCCCGCGUCGCUCUCCUUCCCUCCUGGCCUCUCUUCCAGUCUCGCGCUCCCUGCCGGGCCCCGCCGCAGGUGUCCCGCAGCCGUCUCCCCAGGGCAUUUGAAUCUUGCCUUGGAGCUCUUGCCGCGCGGCCCAGCACCCUGGAAGAGGCAUCAGGGAGGAUGGGACGACGAGGAAGGGGAAGGGUAAUUGGGCUUGGAGCGGGCUUGGGCGGGGUGGUAGGGAACCUGAGCUCCGUUGGUUCAGGGUGUUUGCCCCUGACAUCCUGUGGCCUGGCUGGGAGGGUUCGUGAAGUUCAGGAAGAAAUUGGGAGCAGUCCUUACAGAAUGUUUUAUUUGAAGAACCAAGAGUAUUAAUUUUUUGGCGAGCACUGUUGUAGGCCCUGGGAAUUCAGCAGUGAGAAAAAUAAUUUCAACUCCCUGCCAGACCCGGGCUAGAAGGAGGCAAGCGAGCGAGGCACUCGCAUAGGGGCAAAAUUUAAGGGCGCGACAAAAAAACUCAGUAGUCAAGGUAAAUAAUGUUUUAAUACAAUAUCUUAAAAAGUCAAAAUGAAUGCAAAAAAAGUUUAUAAUGAACAAAAUAUCAAAAACUUAAAGACAGUGAAUGAAACCAAAAUAUGCCAUCCUAAAAUAUGCCGCUUUGGUAUAUUGAUUAUUUUGAGCGAGAGGCACUUGAAAAAUAGCAAAUGCAGAGAGACGUUCUCCCCUUACCUGUCUAAAGACGGAACCUCCAAAAGAAACUGAUUGUCGUAAAUUCCCUCCCGGGAGGAUGGACUCUUAUCACAGCAGAAGUCCACACCACACCUAGACAAACUUUGUCACAAACUCAUAAAGACUUAUGCAUCUUUCCUAAAAAUCAGUUACUCUCCCCUAAGUGGCCUACACCAGCUUCCAGUUCCCCAAUUUUAGAAGCUCUCAAAGCUCACUGGUUUGGGGGGUUUUCACCUAGUUUCCUGCAAUGCCCCCAUGCAGGUGAUAUUAAAGAUUAAUAAAUGUGUAUUCCCGUUCCCCCCGUUCAUCUGCCCGUUGGCAGUUAAUUUCAUAGAGCCAGCUAUGGAACUGGGGAGGACAGAGAGAAGGUCUUUGCUCUCCUAAGACAAGAUGGAUCCCCCACUGACUUUGGACUCCCGUCACGUUCACCGACCCCUGAGUCCUGCUCCUGUGCCUGCCUGGAGCUUAUGUUCUAACGGGCACAAACAAUAAAUAAGGAAGAUAUUUUGCAGGUGCUAUGCCAAAAGAAGAGCCAUGAGGAGGGGCGCAGGUUUUUGUUUUGUUUUAUUUUGGUUUGGUUUGGUUGGUUGGUUGAGAUGGAGUCUCGCUCUUGUUGCCCAGGCUGGAGUGCAAUGGCGUGAUCUCGGCUCACUGCAACCUCCGCCUCCCGGGUUCAAGCAAUUCUCCCGCCUCAGCCUCCUGAGUAGCUGGGAUUACUGGCGCGUGCCACCACGCCCAGCUAAUUUUUGUAUUUUUAGUAGAGACGGGGUUUCAUCAUGUUAGCCAGGCUGGUCUCAAACUCCUGACUUCAGGUGAUCUACCCACCUCUGCCUCCCAAAGUGCUGGAAUUACAGGCUUGAGCCACCGAGGGGCGCAGUUUUAAUCUAGCGGUGAGAGGAGUCAGGGAAGGUGAAAUUUGCGCUUCCUGAGGACCCGCCUGCCGGCCCGGGCUCCCCCAGUCUCGCCGUUAAAUGAACGGAAAUUGGCGGACGCCGUUGCCUGCAGGCACAGCCCGUCGGCUCGGUUGCGUAAAUGUACUUAGCAGCCAAAGCUCAGUGGAAACCCUGCGGGAGGAUUGAUUGGCGCUCUUAGGUGAAGCAGGCUGUCAAGAGCCCCGAUUCACUGUCCUCUGGGGAAAAUGGAUAGACAAAUCGGAGGAAAAAAUUGAGAGGAACUGUGAGCAGUAUAAAUCUUGCAUGAGGAGGCCCCUGACUUACGUUAAAACUCAGAGGUAAGAGGAAUGAAAUGCAGCUAAGCUCUCAAAAUCAUCCAGACUAUUUUGUUUUGUCAUCUUAUCCUUGAACACACAAUGAGCCAAAGUAGACAGCAUUCCUAAUUAGUUGACGGUGCCACCCUCCCGAGAAAAUUAACGGUCAUUCGCAUUAAUACUGCCUGCCCUGGGGAACUCACCCAACCUCCAUCCAGGAAUGGAUCGCACUUCCUGCUGCCGAUGUCGGGGGCAGGGCGGCUUCCUAGGCAUGCAGACCCUCAGAGGCACAGGGCCCUGCACUCACUUGGGGCUCAGUGUUCUGCGGUUGCAGUCUUUGUUGUUUUGUUUUUUGUUUAGAAACUGAAUCUCACUCUCUUACCCAGGCUGGAGUGCAGUAGUGGGAUCAUAGCUCACUGCAGCUUCCAACUCCUGGGCUCCAGGGAUCCUCCCGCCUCAGCCUCCUGAGUAGCUAGGACUAUAGCCACAUGCCACUAUGCAAGGCUAAUUGUUUUUAUUAUUAUUAUUAUUAUUUUUUAGAGAUGGGGUCUCCCUCUGUUGCCCAGCCUGGUGAUUUUUUUUUUUUUUUUGGAUGGAGUCUCGCUCUGUGGCCCAGGCUGGAGUGCAAUGGCGUGAUCUCAGCUCACUGCAACCUCCACCUCCCAGGUUCAAGUGAUUCUUCUGCCUCAGCCUCCCGUGUAGCUGGGACUACAGGUGCACGCCACCACGCCUGGCUAAUUUUUUUAUUUUUAGUAGAGACGGGGUUUCACCAUAUUGACCAAGCUGGUCCCUAACUCCUGACCUCGUGAUCCGCCCGCCUCAGCCUCCCAAAGUGCUGGGAUUACAGGCGUGAGCCACCGCACCCAGCCAAAAUUCUUAAUUUAUCUUUGAAUUUGUGUGGUAUAUGAGAGGUCUUGGACAGUGGCACAUAUGUGAGUGUUUGGACCCUAGCUCAUGUGUGCUCCCACCUGCCACUGCCUCCCUACCUCCCCAAGACAGGUUCUUCUUCUUAUUAUUAUUAUUUUGAGACUGAGUCCCACUCUGUCACCCAGGCUAGAGUGCAGUGCUGUGAUCUCAGCUCACUGCAACCUCCGCUUCCUGGCUUCAAGCAAUUCUCCCUGCCUCAGCGUCCCGAGUAGGUGGGAUUACAGACACCUGCCACCACGCCCAACUAAUUUUUGUAUUUUUAGUAGACACGGUUUCACCAUGUUGGCCAGGCUGGACUUGAACUCCUGACCUCAGGUAAUCCGCCUGCCUUGGCCUCUCAAAGUGCUGGGAUUACAAGAGUGAGCCACUGUGCCCAGCCCAAGAUAGGUUCUUGACUGCUCAAUCCUCUCCUCCUUUUGGUGUCCUGGGCCACACCUGGACUCCCCAUCUCCACCUCCACCCAGGAACCGCUAGUGUCCUCUGUGGUCACUGGGGGCCCAGGUGGUGGGGGGAAGACUGACGUCCGAUGCCUUUGCCCCACAAGGUCUCAGGGUAGGUACGGCAUAGGAAUAGCUGGUGGCCUGCAGGGCCCCCAGACAAGGGUGAAAGUUGACAUUCACCCUGUGCCCAAGAAAGUAUGACAUUCAAUGGCAAAUAAAAGACCAUGCUAGAAAGAGAAAAGCUUUUGCAUAUUAGUGCCUUUGCUGGCACUUUCCUUUCCUGCUUGUUGAACAAGGGGCACUGCAUUUCCAUUGCUGGGGAGAGCAGCCCACUCAGUGUUAAUGGAAAAACCAAACUCUGUAAACUAUUUGAAAGAGGUUUAUUCUGAGCUAGUAUGAGUGACAACAGCCCAGGGAAAGACAUAAACUGAAAAAGCCUUGAGUCAGUGGUCUCAGGGCAGUUAGAUCGCAACUCUGUUUUACACAUUUCAGGGAAGCAGAAGUUAUGAAAAAGUCAUAAAUCAAUACAUGAAGAUUAGACAUUGAUUUGGCCCAGAAAGGCAGAAUAUGUUAAAGUGGGGGCUUCCUGGUCAUAGGUCACUCCAGAGUCUUCAAUUUGCAAUUGGUUAAAAGAGUAAAACUUUGUCUAAAAAUUUUGAAUCAGCAGAAAGGAAUGUUUUCAGUUAAGGAAGUCUGUUAACCAAACCACUGGGUCAGAGUGACCCAUGGGGUGUGUGACUUAAUCCUUGCCUGACAUGGACUUAGGUCCUAUUUAUCAUUUGCUACCUUAUUGUCACAAAGAGUCUGUUUUGUUAGUCUUAUGAUCUGUAUUUUAACAUUUAUGCUGGUCAGUUCUGCCUAAACUCCAAAAGGGAGGGCAUGUAACAAGGCAUGAGUCCAACCUCCCUUCCCAUUGUGGCCAGGAAUUUCGUUUUUAACUUUUUUCUGGGAUCCUCUUGGCCAACAGGGGGUCUGUUCAAUGAGUAGAGGGUUAGGAUUUUAUAUUUAGUUUACAUCAGGGACCUGGGUGAAGCGAGUAAGCCCUCCAGGGAGGUGUGAUCAUGGGGGAACAGAGUCAGCCACCCCCAUCCCAGAUUCUCCUUGGACUGCCUGCUCUGAGCGGCUGUGUGUAGACAGCAAGGAAGAGGGGUCUUCGUCAGAUGCGUGCACCAGAGACUCCAGAACAGCUCAGCCUGGCUCACUCAGUAAAGGGCAUUCUCAAGGGUCAUUGCUGACUCUUCCGGGGCAGCCAGUCUUCAAAUGGACUUUCCCAAACCCCUUCCUAUUGCAGAAAGCUUGUGUCAUUUGCCUCCAAAUGCUGUCCCCCUGACCUCUCCCUGGGGAGGGAGUGGGCUGCAGGUGCCACAGGAUGCAGCAUGAAGCCCUGCAUUCUCCCACCGCUGCUGGAGCCAAGUUCUCCUUCAUGUUUCUCUCUGCACAACACACACAGGAACACUCACAAAUGCAGUCCUGGAAACAGGAUUAGGUGGCCCCUACUUUCCUAGCUGGGAUAUGCAAAGCCACUUUCAUACCAAACUUCCUUCCAGGGCAUCUAAAGGUGACAUGAGUGUGGGCAUCUGUAAGCAGCUUUACUUGCCUUGGACAACCACAGGGAAACUGGGCAGUGAGUCCCACUCCAGAUGCUGGCCGGAGAGACCCCAGUGAAGGCACCCUCAGGCCUGCCCUCCCUCCCUGAGCCCCUCUCCCCUCCCCGCUGCCCCUGAUUUAAGGGUAGUCCUUUCUGCAUUUCCUCCCGAGAGCACGAUAAUAACUCACUGCUUGACCAACUUCAGACAGACUCCUCCGGCACUUUUUUCAGCUAGGCCUCAUCCUUGGACCCCGUGCUCAGCCUGCCUGAGCCAGUCUUAGCAAAGAAUCCUGUUAAGUCCUCUUCUGCCUUUAGUAUCCAAUCAUCCUGGCCUGCCUGCAGCAGGUGUCCUGUUAAGUUAGUUUAGCAAGAUACCCCCCUACCGUCAAGGUCCCCUCUGUUUUCCAUCUGCCAACCCCCCACCUCCACCCUGUUCCUGGGCUGUAAAUCCCCACUUGUCCUUGUGUUGGGAAUUGUGCUCGGCGCUUUCCUUUUGCAGUAGUGCUCAACAGAGUCUGUCUUUUUGCCUUGGAUAGUGUUCAGUUCUAUUUCUCAUUAACAGUUAUGAAGGGCUGUGACACCUUGCUUGGCUUCUAGUCUUGACAUAGACUAAAAGGCAGAAGGUUUCCAGAGCUCACGCUGGAUGGCUGGGCAGAUGAGGUCUUCAGAGACUCUCCAGGGAGGUACGGCUCUGCCUUUCUACUCAGUAUGCAAGCUCCCCAGACUUCUGAAGAGGGAUGUUUCUCCUUAGAGAAAGUCUCCCUGAAUGUGGGUAUUUCAUAAGUUCUUGGACCAGUUCUGCUCUUCUCAGUCCUGCUUUUUGUCAACAUACAUUGAAUCACUUCUCCCUGGCAAAAGAGCAGCAUGUGAAGAAAAUGUGAUCCUUGGUGGUUUGACAUGAAAUUGACUUUUUCUUCUAGCAACACUUAUGAAUAUUCAAAUACAAUUAUGGAAAAGAUUUUUUGCACUGAUCAGCAUAACAAACAAAUUAGACAUCCCAGUGUGCAAAUAUAACUUUCUGAAUUUCCUAGUUUUAAAUAUUCCAGUGGCCAGGAUACCCUAUCCAGAGGAAGCAGGACCGUCUCAGCUGACCAGGGCCCUUGCCUGCUAAUAGCAUCAUGCAUACCUUGUUUCUUCAUGAGGCUGCUUGCCCGAGUUCCAAUCCACCAGGAAUUCAUCUUGUAUCAUAGCUGAUGGAUCCCGUGUCUCGUUUCUAAGUUGGAGCAUCACUUUGCAGCUCCCAACCAGGGCCAGCCACAAAAUUUGAAAGGCCCAGUGCAAAAUAAAAAUGCAGAGCCCCUUGUUCAAAAAGCAGGAAAAGAAUGGGCCAGCAAAGGAACUAAAAUAAACGAAAGCUUUUCCCUUUCUUCCAUGGUCUCUCUUUUGACCUAUCAUGGUGUUUUUAUUUGCUACUGAAUAUCAUGCUUUCUUGGGACAGGGUGAGUGUCAACUGUCACACUUGCCCAGGGGCCCUGCCGAGUGACUUGGUGGGUACACAGUCCACCAGCUGCUUGCAUGGCCACGCCCACCCUGAGAUGCCACGGGUAGUGUAGUAAAAGCAUCUGAUGUCAACCCCACACCCCUCCACACAUACACACUCAGGUUCCCGCAGACCAUGGAGGGCACCAGCGGUUGCUGGGUGAGGGUGGGGAUGGGGAGGCCAUGUGGGGCCCAGGACACCAAAGGGAGGGAGACGAGCAGUCAAUAAUGUGCCUGGGAGAGGUGGCGGACCAGCAGCAGAUGGGAGCACACAUGAGGCAGGCUCCAAGUGCUCACGUAUGCUCCACUGUCCAAUGAGGCCUCACUUACACCACACAAAUUCAAAGAUAAAAUAAAGUUUUUUUUGUUUUGUUUUGUUUUGUUUUGUUUUGGAGACAAGAGUCUCACUCUGUCACCCAGGCUAGAGUGCAGUGGCGCAAUCUUGGCUCACUGCAACUUCCACCUUCCAGGUUCAAGUGAUUCUCCUGCCUCAGCCUCCCAAACAGCUGGGGCUACAGGUGUCCACCACCACACCUGGCUAAUUUUUUGUAUUUUUAGUAGAGAUGGGGUUUCUCCAUGCUGGCCAGGCUGGUCUCAAACUCCUGACCUCAAGUGAUCCGCCCCCCUCGGCCUCCUAAAGUGCUGGGAUUAGAGGCAUGAGCCACCGUGCCCAGCCUGAUAAAAUAAUUAAGAAUGUCAAGACAGCAAUCACAGAGCACUAAACCCCAAGUGCAGGGCCCUGUGCCUCUGAGGGGCUGCAUGGCCACGAAGCCACCCUGCUCCAGCAUUGGCAGCAGGAAAUACAAUCCAUUCCUGGAUGGAGGUUGGGUUAGUUCCUCAGGGCUGCUGUAACAAAGACAACCUGGGUGGCUCCAAACAACAGAAAUGGGCUAUCUCAUAGUUCCAGAGGCCAGAAGUCUGACAUCAGCGUGGUGCAGGGCCGUGCUCCCUCUGAAACCUUAGGAAGUCCUUGCUUGCCUCUUCCUGGCUUCUGGUGGCUGCAGCAAUCUUUGGAGUUCCUUGGCUUGUGGCUGUGUCACUCCAAUCCUAGGUCUUCACCGGUCUCCUUUUUAUAAGAACACAGUCACAUUGGGUCAGCGGCCCACCCUGCUCCAAUGUGACCUAACUUUAACUAUUACAUCUGCAAGGAUCCUGUUUCCAAAUAAGGUCACAUUUUGAGGUCCUGAGAGUUAGGACUUCAGAAUGGCUCAUCUUUGUGGGGGAUGCACAACCCAUAAUAGAGGUGUGGAGGAAGGAGAGUUUCUUCAAGGGGCAGGACUGGGAAAGACUUUGUAAGGAGGCUGGUCCUUGAAAGAGGUGGCAGGAGCGGGGCCACAGCAGGUUGGGAGAGGGAAGAGUGAGCUUCUCAGUUGGGCCACCAUGAGGGUGGCUGUCACUGGGUGCAGACAGCCGACCCCACUGUCAAGUUCUAGGGCUGGGCACACUGUUGCCCAGGAAGCAGGAGCUGGUCAAACCCCUAUGGGGGUUUCCUAGGAGAUAAACCCCACGGCCCAGGUAGGGCACGACAGAACAGACUGUAUGGGGACAAGAGGUUCAAUUGGCAGGACUCUUGGUAACACAAGGAAGGGUGGAAAUGCAGAGGGAACAAGCCAUGACUGUCUGCUCUGCAAACAUAACUUGUCACAUUAAAAUCACCCACUCUCUGCCUGGGCGCGGUGGCUCAUGCCUAUAAUCCCAGCACUUUGGGAGGCCAAGGCAGGUGGAUCACAAGGUCAGGAGAUUGAGACCAUCCUGGCCAACAUGGUGAAACCUCGUCUCUACUAAAAAUACAAAAAUUAGCUGGGCAUGGUGGUGUGCACCUGCAAUCCCAGCUACUUGGGAGGCUGAGGCAGAAGAAUCGCUUGAACCCGGGAGGCAGAGGUUGCAGUGAGCCAAGAUUGCACUACUGCAUUCUAGCCUGGUGACAGAGCAAGACUCCAUCGCAAAAAAAAAAAAAAAGAGGCACCUGAAAGAUGCUUCGCUAUGACAUAGAACACAUUUCUAUAGCUUGUAUUUUUGAAAACAUGUUUACCAGAUGCCCAGGGCUUUUGUUUUUGGUGUUCUGUUUUGUUCUGCUUUUCCAGCAUUUUUCCAGCAGCAUCCUACAGAUAUUUCCAACAGUCACCGUCACUUCAUCACACUCCCCAAAACUAACCACGCCAGCUACUCCUAAUGAUGACAGCAGCAAGCCCCCUAGCCCGAAGGCCUUUUCAUUUCAGAACAAAACCCUUGAUAUAGACACCAUUCAGUUAUCUGUUAAGCCUGACCAGAGAACUACCAUCGCCAAGUCAGAAAAUCACAAAAACCCUAUAGUCCUAACCCACGGUUGAAAAUUCAGUCCAGGUGCAGCGGCUCAUGCCCAAAUCUCAGCAAUUUGUUAGAUCAAGGCAGGAGGAUCACUUAAGCCCAGGAGUUCGAGACCAGCCUGGGCAACAUAGCAAGACCGCCCCAUCUCUACAAAAACAAAAAAGAAGAAAAUUCAGUCUUUAACGUAGCAUGCAUCUGUACGUAAGUGUGUGUGUGGUGGUGUGUAUAUGAGUGUUGUGUGUGUAUGUACAUGUGCAUAAGGGUUAUAUGAGUGUAUAUAUAUGCAUGUGUGUCCCAGCUUCCAAACCCCAUGAAUGGCCCCUCUAGGACUCGGGGCUAGGUCUUGCCCGCUCGUGGAAGCCUCCUUUGCUCCUCCCUCACUCUGCAGUCGCAGCCUGGCACAGUCAUGGGCUCAGUCCAUGAGAGGCUUCUCUCCCCCUGUAACAGGGAAGAGGUCACUCAGUGGGAAUGGCCAGGGUGGUGGCUUGCAGAGUGCAGGGCAGGGCCCCACCCUUGGGUUAUGCCUAUUUCGUUUCUAGAGCCAAACCUGCUCUUGGACCUUUUUAAAAGAACCUAUAUACACCGCCCCCCGACCCCCCGCCAUCCCCUGUCCCCUCUGAGAAAGACUUUCUGUUGCUUGGAGCCGAAACACCUGACUGCUGACCCAGAGGGGAUGUUCAUGCCCCAAGUCCUAUCACAUCCUCAUAAAAUGUAUUAUUUCUCCAAUUUAAGUCAUCUCCAAAGACCUCAUUUCAUGUGAGGGGAAAUUUUUUUUUUUUGAGACGGACUCUCGCUCUGUCGCCCAGGCUGGAGUGCAGUGGCGCGAUCUUGGCUCACCGCAAGCUCCGCCUCCUGGGUUCACGCCAUUCUCCUCCCUCACCCUUCCGAGUAUCUGGGACUACAGGCGCCCACCACCGCGCCCGGCUAAUUUUUUGUAUUUUUUUUAGUAGAGACGGGGUUUCACCGGGGUCUCAAUCUCCUGACCUCGUGAUCCACCUGCCUCAGCCUCCUAAAGUGCUGGGAUUACAGGCGUGAGCCACUGUGCCCGGCCGAGGGGAAAUUUGAAGAAAGAAGGAGCUGUACAAAAAUUGUGUCAACAGGAAAUAGCUGUUCAUGUCAGGGUGAGGUGGGGGACUCCAUUGACCCACACAGCUUUUGACUUGGAACUUUUUCCUUUGAAUUUGUAUCCCCUGAGUAUAACCCAAUAGUAUUCAACUUUUGAGACCUGUCAUUGUUUUAUCAUUUUAUCAGAAUGUUUGUCCAUGUCCCCUCCCUCCCCCACUCCUGGCCAGUUACUUGCUUUUAAGAGAUUUGGGCAGGGCGUGGUGGCUCAUGCCUAUAAUCCCAGCACUUUGGGACGCUGAGGCGGGCGGAUCACCUGAGGUCAGGAGAUCGAGACUAGCCUGGCCAACAUGGUGAAAACCCAUCUCUAGUAAAAAUACAAAAAUUAGCUGGGCAUGGUGGCAGGCACCUGUAAUCUCAGCUACUCAGGAGGCUGAGGCAGGAGAAUCACUGGAACCCGAGAGGCGGAGGUUGCAGUGAGCCGAGAUCGUGCCAUUGCACUCCAGCCUGGGCGACAGAGCAAGACUCCUUCUCAAAAAAAAAUAAGAAAAAAAAGAGAAAGAGAGAGAGGUUUGAUGAAUUCUUAAAGGCCAGCCCCUGGGGUGGAGGGUACCAUGGCUAAGAUGCCUCCAUGCCACACGAAAGGUCAUUAGGGAUACAGGACUCCCUGGGCUCCUUCCUGGGCCAUUUUUAUCAUGUGCAAAUGCCCAGGGUCUUAGAGGCUCACCUGAGAACACGUGACUUCACCUUAGACCAAACCUGGAGGCCUCAAGCCACCUGCAUUUGGAUGAUGAGAAACCACCACGUUAUCAGACUCAUUCAUCUUUGUAUCAACUUCAGCAAAAAGCAAUUAAACCAGGAAGCAGGGCAUAAUUCAUAGUUAUAGGAAAUCAUUUCAACUCUUCGGUACCCAAGUCAAAGACAAAAGGCAAGAGCUUUUUUGUGUAAAAUCUCUGUAGCAUAGAAAGUCUGCUAGACCUCCCUAGAAAGGACACAUUCCAGCAGCCUACGCAUAGACAUUUUCUCAGGCCUCCCCAUUUUUUCCUGAUCUCAUCCAUGUGUUUCUUCCAGCUUUGAUUGUAAAAUAAAAAUGAGAUUCAGAAAACCACAUAAAACAAACAUACAGCUGAAUGAGUUACCUUAAGAGGAAUAUCCCUGCACUCCUCACCCAGGUCAUAAAGAAGCUUUUCCCCCAUCCAGAGGCUUUCCCAAGCUCCCUCCCUCCCCAGGAAGGUGGCCACAUCCUGAUGUCCCUGGAAAUCGCCCCCUCACAUUUCUUCCUGGUGUGUCACCCUGGCCGCAUCCCUAGACACUGUUUCUAUCCAUUUGUCCAAGUCCAUCUCUUUCUUUGCCUUACAGUUUACCUGUUGAAGGUUCCCCUGUCGCUGGCCCUACUGCCCCACUCUCUGGUUGUGUUACCUGAGAUCGCUCCAAAUAUUAAUAAUUUAUACUCGGCCAGGUGCGGUGGCUCACACCUGUAAUCCCAGCACUUUGGGAGGCUGAGGCGGGUGGAUCACCUGAGGUCAGCAGUUCGAGACUAGCCUGGUCAACAUGGUGAAACUCCGUCUCUACUAAAAAUACAAAAAUUAGCCAGGCGUGGUGGCAGGCGCCUAUAGUCCCAGCCCCACUCAGGAGGCUGAGGCAGGAGAAUCGCUUGAACCCAGGAGGCGGAGGUUGCAGUGAGCCGAGAUCGCGCCACUGCACUACAGCCUGGGCAACAAGAGCAAAACUCUAUCUUAAUAAUAACAAUAAUAAUAAUAAUAAUAAUAGUUCAUACUCAAAUGCUCAUCUCAGGUACUGUGUGACAGGGCAGGUGUCGCUUCUAACCAGCCCAAUCCAAGAGAGCCUCUCCAACCACAGCCCCAGGUUAGGUGCCACCCACCCAAUGUGGCCUAGGCCAGCGUCUAGAUUGGGCCCUCAAGGACAGGACCAAUGUCCUCUGUCUUCCUCCCCACUGGCCACACAGAAGGGAGGGUGCAGUCAACUGUGGAGCAGACAGGAUUUGGGGUUCCGCAGAGCCACACAGCUGCGUGACCCUGUCCCUUUCCAGAGGGAGGAUCUCAUGGGCUGGCCAGGAUAAAGGGGAGUUAGAGGCUCUUGGAGAGAGUGGGAUGGUCCCAGAACCUCCUCACAAAAAUGGACAUUUGUAAAGCAGUGAAAGUUAAAUAAAUAAAUAAGAUGGGUCGUCAUCUGGCUCUGCCUUUAUUUUAACUUGCUUUGAGGAUGAAAGAGUCAAACCCUGGGGAGUGACCAGUUGUCUGAGAAAAAGAAGAAAAUGAGAGGCCCCUCGGGUCAUCUCUCCAAUGUAUGACCUGGUCUGGGCUCCCCUGAAUCUGCCCUGCUCCUUCCCGGCACUCAGGUUAGGAGAGGCUCCUUCUCUCCUUCUUCCUUUGGGGGUGACUUUCUGGAAGACACUCAACUGGCCUUCCUUAACUGAUAUGAGGCUUCCUGUAUGUUGUCCGUGCCAGUAAACUAUUUGACACUGAUUUUUUUUUUUUUGAGAUAGAGUCUCUGUCACAAGACUGGAGUGCAGUGGCGCAAUUUCAGCUCACUGCAACCUCUGACUCCCUGGUUCAAGCGAUUCUCCUGCCUCAGCCUCCCGAGUAGCUAGAAUUACAGGCACGUGCCACCACGCUCGGCUAAAUUUUUUGUAUUCUUAGUAGAGACGGGCUUUCACGACGUUGGCCAGGAUGGUCUCCAUCUCCUGACCUCGUGAUUCACCUGCUUUGGCCUCCCAAAGUGCUGGGAUUACAGGUGUGAGCCACCGCACCUGGCUAUUUGACACUUUCAUCCCCAAAUUAUAGCUGUUGUAAAAUAGUCCCAUUUUUUAAAGAGAGAAACCCACAUUCAUAUGCCUUUGGGUUUGGGUUUGAAGGAUGCUCUAAGCCCUGCAGUUGCUGCAAGUGCACUGGCUCAGUGGGUGGAAUCGGAAAGCUACUUCCUCUCUGUGAAGCGCUGAGCUCAGCUCAGAGCCACGGCCUCUGUGGGGGCACUUCUCCAGCUAAGCCACAUUUACAAACUUCAGCUUUCAAAGCAGUCUCCAAGCCCAAGCAACAGGGCUUCUGGAGAGCAGCUCAGCGAUGAAAUCACCCCCUAAUUAGCAACCUGAGAGAGGAUUACAUAAAAGACCCAAGAUAAUGUAAUGCUCUUUUUGAAGGUAAAAGAGAAAACUCUAAACUGUAUUACCUUUUUACCUUCUCUUCAUAUCAGAAAUCAUUGUGGGAAGCUCAUUCCUCUUUCUGCGCGUCCCCAUUCUCCUUUCCAAUCAGCCCUCCUCCCCCAACACAGGCACUUACAAAUUCUGGAAAUAUCACUGCUUUGAGAAAACAAAUAGGUUGUCAGGACAAGCGUCUCUAAAGGGAAAAUGGUUUUCCCUGGCAGGAUGAAAAACAUUAAAUCACAAGAAUUUCUGUCUAUGUGCUACCACCUGAAAUGGAAAAGUUUUGUUCAUUCCACCAGACAAACAGCUGAUGUUUAAGUCCUGACCCCGGGUGCAGUGAGGUCCUAAAGCGUAUAGCAUAACCAUCAGCAUGGCCCACUGUUGGGGGUAUGGGGAGGAGUGGAGACCAGGACCCCAUGGGCACUAGGGCCUGGGGAUCCCGCAACCAGGUUGUAAGCACCAAGGUGUUUCUUCCUGCCCAUUGUAUAAAGAAAGACCAUAGCAUUGCAGUAAAGAAAGAGUUUAAUAGAGACAAGGCCGUUCAUGACCAUGGGAGAUGGAAUUUAUACUCAAAUCAUCUUGUCCAAAGCUCGUGGGUUAGGGUUUUUUUGUUUUUUUGUUUUUGUUUGUUUGUUUGAGACAGUCUCGCUCUUUCGCCCAGGCUGAAGUGCAGUGGUGCAAUCUCGGCUCACUGCAACCUCCGCGCCUCAGGUUCAAGCAAUUCUCCUGCCUCAGCCUCCUGAGCAGCUGGGAUUAUAUGCGCCCCCCACCACACCUGGCUAAUUUUUUUGUAUUUUUAGUAGAGACAGGGUUUCGCUAUGUUGGCCAGGCUGAUCACCCGCCUAGAUCUCCCAAAGUGCUAGGAAGGAUUACAGGCGUGAGCCACCAUCCCCAACCAAGGGUUAGGGGUUUUUCUUUCCUUUUUUGUUUUUUUUUUUUUUUUUUUUUUUGAGAGGGAGUUUUUUGCUCUUGUUUCCCAGGCUGGAGUGCAAUGGCGCUGUCUCGGCUCACUGCAACCUCUGCUUCCCGGGUCCAAGUGAUUCUCCUGCCUCAGCCUCCCGCAUAGCUGGGAUUACAGGUGCCCGCCACCACACCCAGCUAAUUUUUUGUAUUUUUAGUAGAGAUGGGGCUUCAUCAUGUUGGCCAGGCUGGUCUGAAACUCCUGACCUCAGGUGAUCCACCCACUUCGGCCUCCCAAAGUGCUGUGAUUACAGGCAUGAGCCAACAUGCCCGGCCAGGAGUUUUUCAAAGGCAGUUUGGGGGAAGGGCUGUGGGUGGCUGCUGAUUGGCUGAGGUGGAGAUGAAAUCAUAGCAGGUGGAAGCUGCCCUCCUGCGAGCUCAAUAGCUUCUGGUGGGCCACAGGAGUGGGGUUGGUAGGUCCAGGUGGAACCAUAGAUGUCAGACAUGAAGAUAAAACUGAAAAGAUAUCUUAGGUUCUACAACAGUGAUAUUAUUUGCAGGAGUAAUUGGGGAAGUUGCAUAUCUUAAAACCUCAAGAAUAAUGGCUGACAAUCGUUUAUGUCUGCGCCUUAGCAGGACGCAGGCUCCUCUCCACCUCCCAGCCUGAUGGCCUCCCAUUAGCUUUACAAAAGCGGUUGAAUUUGGGGGGAGACCUAUUAACACUAUAUCCUAAAAGUCUCUCAAAGUUAGCUCAGCCCAAUAACCCAGGAAUAAUUAAGGGGAAGGCAAGACGCAGGGUGGGUUAGCUCAGAUCUCUUUCACUGUCAUACUUUUCUCACUGAUACAAUUUUUGCAAAAGCAGUUUCAAGAUCAUAGCAAGGGGCAGAAACCAGCUCCGCCCCACAUCUGAGCCCCCAAAGGAAUUCAGGUCGGGAGUCAGCAUCCACGGCCAGGGUCACUGGAGAAUUCAGGCUCAGAAAUCCUGCACAUGGGUGUCUAAACAUCUGUGGCUGACUUUAGUUCUUAUGGAACUGAAGACUUUUCUGAAGGGGAAAGAGGCCCCAUAGUGGGUAACCAGCCCCUAUUCUGUGCUUCUGCUGAGACGGCCCCUGGAUGCCAGUGAUCAGGCCAGAAUUGGGAUCCACUAGUAGGGACAUCCUGUCACCAGAAAGCAGGGAUGUUCCUGAAUAUUCCAUGAUCCCUUUCCUGAUGGCUGUGUCUAACCCACGUUUUCUCUACUCUUAGAUCCAAGCAAGGGAUUGGCUACCUGCCCCCCACAAGAUAUUUUAUUCACCUGACACGUCUUCUCAAUUGAGAUGAGCCCUUUUUUAACCAUCCAUAAACACAUUCAUGCACCAUAUGUUUCCGCCAACUACAGACGACAUAGACAACGGUGGUCCCCUAAGAUUAUGAUACCGUAUUUUUACUGUGCCUUUCUAUGUUUAGAUAUGAUAGAUACACACUUACCACUGUGCUCCAACUGCCUACAGUAUUGAGUACGUCACACACUGUACAGUUUUGUAGCCUAGGAGCAAUAGGCUUUAUCAUAUGGCCUCCUAGGUGAGUAGGAAGCCAUACCAUCUAGGUUUGUGUGAGUACACUCCAUGAUAUUCACAGGAUGACAAAAUCGCCUAGCACCACAUUUCUCUGAACAUAUUCCUGUCUGCCGGGCAUGGUGGCUCAUGCCUGUAAUCCCAGCACUUUGUGAGGCUGUGGUGAGUGGAUCAUCUGAGGUCAGGAGUUCAAGACCAGCCUGGCCAACAUGGUGAAACCUCAUCUCUGCUUACAAAAUAAAACAUUAAAAAAUAAAUAAAUAAAUUAGCAUGGCCAGGUGUGGUGGCUCACGCCUGUAAUCCCAGCAUUUUGGGAGGCCGAGGUGGGCGGAUCACCUGAGGUUGGGAGUUUGAGACCAGCCUGACCAACAUGUAGAAGCCCCAUCUCUACUAAAAAUACAAAAUUAGCCAGACAUGGUGGCACAUGCCUGUAAUCCCAGCUACUUGGGAGGCUGAGGCAGGAGAAUCGCUUGAACCCAGGAGGCGGAGGUUGCGGUGAGCCAAGACGGCACCAUUGCACUCCUGCAGCCUGGGCAACAAGAGCGAAACUCCAUCACAAAAUAAAUAAAUAAAUAAAUUAGCUGGGCAUGGUGGUGCAACGCCUGCAGUUCCAACUACUUAAGAGACUGAGGCAGGAGAAUCACUUGCACCCAGGAGGCAGAGGUUGCAGUGAGGGGAGAUUGCGCCAUUGCACUCCAGCCUGGGCGACGGAGCAAGACUGCCUCAAAAAAAAAAAAAAAAAAACCACCAAAAAAAGCACAUAUUCCUGUCAUUAACUGACACAUGACUGCUCCAGUAUGUUAUCUCUAAACAUAUAAGACUCUUUUAAAAAAUUUAACUACAGUGCCAUUACCACACCUACUAAAAAGUAAAAUAAUUCUUUAAUAACAUCCAGUGGCAAAGUAGGUUGCAGUUUACUCAAUGGCAAUUCCUCAUGUUCAAAUUCUCCCAAGUUUCAAAGGUUAAAAGGUUAAAAAGUCUUUUUUUUUUACACUUGGUUUGCUCAAGUGAGGACCCAAAGAAAACCACUCAUUAAAUGUGGUUGGUUGAACAAACAUAUGAAAAAAGUCAUCAUCACUGAUCAUUAGAGAAAUGCAAAUCAAAACCACAAUGAGAUACCAUCUCACGCCAAUUUGAAUGGCGAUCAUUAAAAAGGCAGGAAACAACAGAUGCUGGAGAAGAUGUGGAGAAAUAGGAAUGCUUUUACACUGUUGGAGGGAGUGUAAAUUAGUUCAGCCAUGGUGGAAGACAGUGUGGCGAUUCCUCAAGGAUCUAGAACUAGAAUUACCAUUUGACCCAGCAAUCCCAUUACUGGAUAUAUACCCAAAGGAUUAUAAAUAAUUCUACUAUAAAGACACACGCACACGUAUGUUUAUUGUGGUACUGUUCACAAUAGCAAAGACUUGGAACCAACCCAAAUGCCCAUCAAUGAUAGACUGGAUAAAGAAAAGGUGGCACAUAUAUACCAUGGAAUACUGUGCAGCCAUGAAAAAGGAUGAGUUCAUGUCCUUUGCAGGGACAUGGAUGAAGCUGGAAACCAUCAUUCUCAGCAAACUAACACAAGAACAAAAAACCAAACACCGCAUGUUCUCACUCAAAAGUGGGAACUGAACAAUGAGAACACAUGGACACAGGGAGGGGAACAUCACACACUGGGGCUUGUCGGGGGGUGGGGGACUAGGGGAGGGAUAGCAUUAGGAGGAAUACCUAAUGUAUAUGACGGGUUGAUGGGUGCCACAAACUACCAUGGCAUGUGUAUACUUAUGUGACAAACCUGCACAUUCUGCACAUGUACCCCAGAACUUAGAGUAUAAAAAAAAAAAGUGGUUGGCUAGGUUGGGUUCACACCUGUAAACCCAACACCUUGAGAGGCCAAGGUGGGCGGAUCAUUUGAGGUCAGGAGUUCAAGACCAGCCUGGUGUGGUGGCGCAUGCCUGUAGUCCCAGCUACUCAGGAGGCUGAGGCGGGAGAAUGGCUUGAACUUGGGAAGCAGAGGUUGCAGUGAGACUGCACCAAUGCACUCCAGCCUGGGUGACUGACUGAGACCCUGUCUCAAAAAGAAAGAAAGGAAGGAAGGAGGGAGGGAGGGAAGGAAGGAAGGAAGGAAGGAAGGAAGGAAGGAAGGAAGGAACAAAAUGUGGUUGAUCAGUCUCCAGGCCUCUUUCAAUGUAUUAAAGCCUCCCCCGCUACUUUUCCCCAUACUGUUUACUCACUGAAGAAGCCGAGUUGUUUAGCUUAGAGAAGUUUCCAGUCUGGAUUUGGCAGAUGGUUUACUUGUGGUGUCAUUAAUUUAUCCCUCCAUGCCUGGUUUCCUGUAAGACAUUGGUUUAAACUAGAGGGUCGGCCGGCAUGGUGGCUCACGCCUGUAAUCCCAGCACUUUGGGAGGCUGAGGCAGGUGGAUCACCUGAGGUUGGGAGUUUGAGACCAGCCUGGCCAACAUGGAGAAACCCCGUCUCUACUAAAAAUAAAAAAUGAGCCGGGCAUGGUGGUGCAUGCCUGUAGUCCCAGCUACUCGGGAGGCUAAGGCAGGAGAAUUGCUUGAACCCAGUGGGUGGAGGUUGCUGUGAGUAGAGAUUGCGCCAUUGCACUCCAGCUCUGGGCAACAAGAGCGAAACUCCAUCUCAAAAAAAAUUAAAAUUUAAAUUAAAAAAAUAAACUAGAGGGUUGAUUUUUUUUUUCUUUUAUUGGUGAGCUACCUCUUAGGUGAUGCUGAGUGCUUCCCACAGCAUCGCUUCCAUCAAAACUGAUCAGUGGUUUCAGGUGUUGUCAACCUGCUCUGUCCUUUAAAAGUUUUCCUCAAAAUUUCACCUACGGCUUUAGCAUCCACUGAUUAUUUUUGUCUCAAUCUGUUACUUCAGCCUGUUUAACAUGGUGACUUCCUAAUCCAAUCCUCCCUUUAGCUUUCUGCACUGACAUUUUUCCAUAAAGAAGACCUUUCCCUCCUCUGGUAUGGUUUCCCUGAGGUGCCGUUCAUGCAGAAAAAGCUGGAUACAUGUUUGACUCUUUAUGGAUUUUCAAAAUGAGUGACACCCACCAACCUUGAAAGGGAGCUAAUGCAUUUUAUUAAAUAUUUUUAUUAAUACAUAUGGCAUUUUAUAAAUUUGAUGUGCUUUGAUCCAUUGUAGCAGUUUUUCUUUCUAAUGUUCAAAUCAUUUCUUUGGCCAGUAGGACUCCUUUCAAAUUAGCUGUGUCCUUCUAAAAUGACCCAGAGCCGGGCGCAGUUGUUCAUGCCUGCAAUCCCAGCACUUUGGGAGGCCAAGGCAGACAGAUCACAAGGUUAGGAGUUUGAGACCAGCGUGGCCAACAUGGUGAAACCCCUUCUCUACUAAAGAUACAAAAAAUUAGCCGGGCAUGGUGGGACGCACCUGUAAUCCCAGCUACUCGGGAGGCUGAGGCAGGAGAAUUGCUUGAACCCGGGAGGUGGAGGUUGCAGUGAGCCAAGAUCAUGCCAGUGCACUCCAGCCUCAGUGACAGGGCGAGACUCCAUCUCAAAAAAAUAAAUAAAUAAAUAAUAAUAAAUAAAUAAAAUGACCCUCGUAGUUUUUGUUGUUUGGCACAAAAUGUGCCCCAGGUUUGUCUUGUGCAUUUCCUGCCCCAGACUGGAAUCAGCCAUUGCUCCAAAGAGCCCUACUCUUUUUUUAGAGGAAUACGGUAUUUAGCAACCAAAUCAUUAGAGAAUUAGAAGUGUUACAUGACAGAGGUCCCCAUCCAGACCCCAAGAGAGGGUUCCUGGGUCUCAUGUAAGAAAGAAUUCAGGGCGAGUCCACAGUGCAAAGUGAAAGCAAGUUUGUUAAGAAAGUAGAGGAAUAAAAGAACGGCUACUCCAAUGGCUGGGCGCAGUGGCUCAUGCCUGUAAUCCCAGCAUUUUGGAAGGCUGAAGUGAGCGGAUCGCAAGGUUAGGAGAUCGAGACCAGCCUGACCAACAUGAUGAAACCC